GAUGAACGCUGGCGGCGUGCUUAACACAUGCAAGUCGAACGGUAAGGCCCUUCGGGGUACACGAGUGGCGAACGGGUGAGUAACACGUGGGUGAUCUGCCCUGCACUUCGGGAUAAGCCUGGGAAACUGGGUCUAAUACCGGAUAGGACCCUGGGAUGCAUGUCCUGGGGUGGAAAGCUUUUGCGGUGUGGGAUGGGCCCGCGGCCUAUCAGCUUGUUGGUGGGGUGAUGGCCUACCAAGGCGACGACGGGUAGCCGGCCUGAGAGGGUGACCGGCCACACUGGGACGUAGAGACGGCCCAGACUCCUACGGGAGGCAGCAGUGGGGAAUAUUGCACAAUGGGCGCAAGCCUGAUGCAGCGACGCCGCGUGAGGGAUGACGGCCUUCGGGUUGUAAACCUCUUUCAGCAUCGACGAAGCGAAAGUGACGGUAGGUGCAGAAGAAGGACCGGCCAACUACGUGCCAGCAGCCGCGGUAA
rnacentral:rRNA from 1 species